GGUGGAAUCUACACGCAUAUAAAAAAACGCUUUGAAAAAUGCUUUUUUAAAAAACAUUUUGAAAAAUAUACUGAAUUUGCCAUAGCUCACCAUCGCCAUCUAGUGUCUCAUUGCUAUGGCAAAUUCAAUAUAUUUUUCAAAACUUUUUUUUAAAAGCAUUUUUAAAAGCGGUUUUUUAAUAUGCGUGUAGAUUCCACC